AGUGAACGCUGGCGGUAGGCCUAACACAUGCAAGUCGAACGGCAGCACAGUAAGAGCUUGCUCUUACGGGUGGCGAGUGGCGGACGGGUGGGGAAUACAUCGGAAUCUACUUUUUCGUGGGGGAUAACGUCGGGAAACUUAGGCUAAUACCGCAUACGACCUACGGGUGACAGGAGGGGUUCUUCGGACCUUGCGUGAUUGAGUGAGCUGAUGUCGGAUUAGCUAGUUGGCGGGGUGAAGGCCUACCAAGGCGACGCUCCGUAGCUGGUCUGAGAGGAGGAUCAGCCACACUGGAACUGAGACACGGUCCAGACUCCUACGGGAGGCAGCAGUGGGGAAGAUUGGACAAUGGGCGCAAGCCUGAUCCAGCCAUACCGCGUGGGUGAAGAAGGCCGUCGGGUUGUAGAGCCCUUUUGUUGGGAAAGAAAAGCAGCAGGUUAAUACCCCGCUGUUCUGACGGUACCCAAAGAAUAAGCACCGGCUAACUUCGUG
rnacentral:rRNA from 1 species